rnacentral:misc_RNA from 1 species
GGCUUAGUUGAGUUGAGUUGUUCUUGUUGAUUAUGCCUAUACUAGUUUGGCUGUAUUCAUGACUUGCUUAAUGUUAAGUUUCAGAGUGUGAAUUUAUUCUGUCACAGUGAUUAUUCAAACUAAGGAAUUUUGAUAAAUUGAAUUUAUCAUUUAAUAAAAUUUUGGUAAUUAUUGAAGGAGUCGGACUAUUCAUGUUUUUAUGGAAAUCACUGGAGAAUCCUGCCUGUAGAGAUCUGCGGAUUCCAUAGGCAUAGAUCUCUAUUUAUGCUUGACUUGAUUAAUUAAUGAUGUUAUUGUCAAUUCCCAAUUAAAUGGAUACACAAGCAAUAAUGUGAAUAGAGAUAAGAUUAUCAGAAAUUUACUCAAUUUAAUAAUUAAUAUUAUGCUUGCAAUGACCUCUCUCUCUCUCUCUCUCU